GGGAUUCGCGACUUUGGGCACAACAUUUGGGGGCUCAUCUGGGAUCCCAGAGACCCCCAGGACUCCCGACCUGGAGGGCCCUGUGCCAGCUGAAAUAUCCGAAUUUCCUUAAGUCAACUGCCUUGCAAAGCCACAAAACUGCAAAUAG